UACGUAGGCAGCAAGCGUUGUUCGGAAUUACUGGGCGUAAAGAGUGUGUAGGCGGUGCUCUAAGUUCGGUGUGAAAUCUCCCGGCUUAACUGGGAGGGUGCGCCGGAAACUGGAGUGCUCGAGCGUGGGAGAGGAAAGCGGAAUUCAUGGUGUAGCAGUGAAAUGCGUAGAGAUCAUGAGGAAGACCAGUGGCGAAGGCGGGUCUCUGGACAGUUCCUGACACUGAGACACGAAGGCCAGGGGAGCAAACGGG
rnacentral:rRNA from 1 species